CACCGCGGUUAUACGAGAGGCCCUAGUUGCCAGUCGCUCGGCGUAAAGGGUGGUUAUGGAAGGCAAAAAUAAAGUCAAAAGGCCUCUUAGCAGUUUUACGCUUAUGAGCAUCCGAGGCUCAACAACGAAAGUAGCUUUAGCACGGCCCACCUGACCCCACGAAAACUGAGAG
rnacentral:rRNA from 1 species